rnacentral:lncRNA from 1 species
CUUCAUCACACUCCCCAGGUCAAAGAAUAGAAUCCGUCAUUUAAGCUGAAUUUCAAUAAGCAGGUAAUCACAUCAAAAUGAAAAGACUUGCAGUAGUUAAUGUCUUGUGGUUUUGCUGCUGAGCCACAAGCAGCUGUGGAUUCUGGAUGUAUGCAGAAGAAACCCUUUUUGAGCCAGCCUUGGGAUACACUGUAGUCAGGGCUACUAUACCAAUUCGUACCAAACUAGAAGGACUGAUUUAAAAUUUUCCCCUUUAAGAGAAACUCAGGGAACUGAAGUUUUCUUUAUUAUAUCAAAGGGAGCAGUCAGCCGCGAGAAAAACACAACACUACAUCCUAAAGGAGAAAGAGAAUUUUCUUGAAUUGCAGAAUGUUGACACCAUACGUCUGUCCAACUUCAAAGCUGUUGGUUAUAAAUCUUGCAGAUAACUGAUCAUCCCAAAUCCACAAAGGCAAAAGUUGAAAGAGAAGUUGGAACAUCAGACAAGGCAAAGAAACUGCACAGCCCCUGAAGGAGUUGAAGCCAGUUACGGUGUGACAUAUAUCAUGAAGUUUCUGUAGGACUUGGCUGUCCAUUUAAAUGCUAAUGUGCAAUCCUGGCAUAUCCUAGGAAUUAAAGUGCUGAAGCAAGCAGCAGUGCUGGAAAUUUCAGAAGAUUGUUGAAUAUUCAGUACCCAUGUGCUAAAGAGCUCAGGUAGACUUUCAAAUGUCAGAGAACAAACCACAGCUCUCACUUCUGUGUGCACUGCUAUGAAUUCUUUGGCAAUGUGCCAUUUUUAAAAGAAAGGAUGAGUGAAGUUUUGAGUUUCCAAGUGAUUUUUUAUUAAGUUGACCUGACAAGCAAAACAAGAGGUCAUCGCCUGCAAUUCAUACAGAGGGCAUUGAUUAAAAAGCAAAUUUGGAAGUUCUUCCUGGUUAUUUUCUCCAAAGUUUCAAUUAUCUGCAGCUACAAGAACUGAAAAUUGUCAGGCAUUUAAGAAUCUGAAGAUUUUGCCUCAUGUUCUUACUCUGUAUUUAUAUAGUACAUCAAAGCCAUAUUAAUAUAAUAUCACUGAGCCAGCAAUGAGCAGGUAUGUGAAAGGUAGUAAGAACUUUUAUUGAAAUUGGUGCCUUGAGGGAUGGAAGUAGCUACCCAAAGGCUGAGAAUGAGUUUCCAGAAGGUCAGUCAGUAUACAGCAAACUUUAAUUGCCAUAUAGAUAAUUGCUACUAUGUCCAGAAAAACAGUCUUAUUAUCCUUCAACGCACAUAUAAAAAGUAUCUUCCAUGUGUCAGGCAUUCAGCUAGGUGCUAGGGAAAUAACAGUAGUAAUAAUAAUAACCAUUCACAUACUGAUUGCCUUAUGAACGGUACUGUGUAAAUGCUUUACCUACGUAGGCUCAUUUAGUCCUAUAAGGAUGUGAUUCUAUAAGGUUAUAAAAUCUCUACUGAGGUAAGUAUUUAUAGAUGGGGAAACCAAGGCAGAGAAAUUAUGUAACUUCAAAAUGGUAAUACAGUUUGUAAAUGAUGGAAAUGGGAAGACCUUGGUCCCAAAAGUGUGCUCUCCAAACUACUGUACAACUUUGUGCUUUUAUCCCACAUUCUACUGAUGUUCUUAACAAUCCUCUUUGUUUUUUUAAAAUAUUUUUUUAGAUGCGUAGACCUUUAUUUUAUUCAUUU